UAGGGAUUGCAGUGAAAAGCCCACAGCGCGGGUUGGGUCGCGGGCAUGCAACGCGAGGACUUGUAACGGAAAGCCCGGGCCUCA
rnacentral:misc_RNA from 1 species